UAUGUUGUUGUAAGUUGUACAAAAAAGAAAAUUUCCAUAGCAGAUAGAUAUUGGAAAGACUUCGAGGAACUGUUGAGAUCCAAAGCCAUUUCGGAGGUAGAGAGCUCUAUAUCAGGCCAGAAGGUUGAAGUCCGCUCCUUAAAGUGUAAUGCUGGUAACUUUAAUAUUAUUGUGAAACAGUAUUCAGGGGUAAUGCUGGGUGUGUG
rnacentral:misc_RNA from 1 species